UACGCCGUAAACGAUGCGCACUAGGCUCGAGGGUUCUGACGACCUUCGUGCCGCAAGAAAACCGUGAAGUGCGCCGCCUGGGGAGUACGGCCGCAAGGCUAAAACUCAAAGGAAUUGACGGGGGCUCACACAAGCGGUGGAGCAUGUGGAUCAAUUCGAAGCAACGCGAAGAACCUUACCUGGGUUUGACAUGCACGGAUGGUCUCGGUGAAAGCUGAGUAAUCUGCCUUCGGGUGAAACGUGCACAGGUGCUGCAUGGCUGUCGUCAGCUCGUGCUGUGAAGUGUCGGGUUAAGUCCCUUAACGAGCGAAACCCUUGUCGCUAGUUACCAGCGGGUCAUGCCGGGGACUCUAGCGAGACUGCCGGCGUUAAGCCG
rnacentral:rRNA from 1 species